AUGGAAUGGCGGCUGUUAAUGUUGAUUACAGAAGCUGUUCUGGGAGUGACACUGGAGCAAAAAGAUCUCUCCAUGACGAAAGGGAAGGGCAAAACUAUACACAUCAGCUGCAAAGUGACCAGGCUAAGGACAGAUUAUGUCCACUGGUACCAAAAGAAAGACGGUGAAGAAGUUCUCAAAAGGAUCCUGUAUGUGAAAAAAGGAAGCUCACCUGUUCCUGAUAAUACCCAUCCUGAAUCAGGGGACUUUAAAGUGCAGUCUGAUAACUAUGAUCUGAAGAUUGAUCUGAAGGAAAUUCACUCAGGGGUUUAUUACUGUGCGAGCUGGGAAAGUACCACAGUGACAGUAAACAUUCUGACAGAAAAACCCUGA